GGAGAGCAUCCUACGGGAGGCAGCAGUGGGGAAUAUUGCACAAUGGGCGCAAGCCUGAUGCAGCCAUGCCGCGUGUAUGAAGAAGGCCUUCGGGUUGUAAAGUACUUUCAGCAGUGAGGAAGGUGGAUAUGUUAAUAGCAUAUUCAUUUGACGUUAGCUGCAGAAGAAGCACCGGCUAACUCCGUGCCAGCAGCCGCGGUAAUACGGAGGGUGCGAGCGUUAAUCGGAAUUACUGGGCGUAAAGCGCAUGCAGGUGGUUUGUUAAGUCAGAUGUGAAAGCCCGGGGCUCAACCUCGGAAUUGCAUUUGAAACUGGCAAACUAGAGUACUGUAGAGGGGGGUAGAAUUUCAGGUGUAGCGGUGAAAAUGCGUAGAGAUCUGAAGGAAUACCGGUGGCGAAGGCGGCCCCCUGGACAGAUACUGACACUCAGAUGCGAAAGCGUGGGGAGCAAACAGGAUUAGAUACCCUGGUAG
rnacentral:rRNA from 1 species